UACCAGCUCUCCGAGUGGUGUGGAUGUUUAUUGGGCCUAAAGCAUCCGUAGCUGGCUGGGCAAGUCCCCUGUUAAAUCCACCGAUUUAAUCGUUGGUGUGCGGGGGAUACUGUUCGGCUAGGGGACGGGAGAGGCCGACGGUAUUUUCGGGGUAGGGGUGAAAUCCUAUAAUCCCGGGAAGACCACCAGUGGCGAAGGCUGUCGGCUAGAACGCGCCCGACGGUGAGGGAUGAAAGCUGGGGGAGCGAACCGGAUUAGAUACCCGGGUAGUCCCAGCUGUAAACGAUGCAGGCUAGGUGUUUGGGCGGCCACGUGCCGCUCUAGUGCCGCAGAGAAGUCGUUAAGCCUGCCGCCUGGGGAGUACGGCCGCAAGGCUGAAACUUAAAGGAAGUUGGCGGGGGAGCACCACAAGGGGUGAAGCUUGCGGUUU
rnacentral:rRNA from 1 species